rnacentral:rRNA from 1 species
GUCCACGCUGUAAACGAUGACGACUAGGUGUGGGGGUUCAGUCCCCUCCGUGCCGCAGCUAACGCAUUAAGUCGUCCGCCUGGGGAGUACGGCCGCAAGGUUGAAACUCAAAGGAAUUGACGGGGCCCGCACAAGCGGUGGAGCAUGUGGUUCAAUUCGAUGCAGAGCGAAGAACCUUACCUGGGCUUGACAUGCAGGAAGUAGAAACCGGAAACGGCGACGACCUGUUAAGUCAGGAACCUGCACAGGUGGUGCAUGGCUGUCGU